AAGGGUUUGAUCCUGGCUCAGAUUGAACGCUGGCGGCAGGCCUAACACAUGCAAGUCGAGCGGAUGAAGGGAGCUUGCUCCUGGAUUCAGCGGCGGACGGGUGAGUAAUGCCUAGGAAUCUGCCUGGUAGUGGGGGAUAACGUCCGGAAACGGGCGCUAAUACCGCAUACGUCCUGAGGGAGAAAGUGGGGGAUCUUCGGACCUCACGCUAUCAGAUGAGCCUAGGUCGGAUUAGCUAGUUGGUGGGGUAAAGGCCUACCAAGGCGACGAUCCGUAACUGGUCUGAGAGGAUGAUCAGUCACACUGGAACUGAGACACGGUCCAGACUCCUACGGGAGGCAGCAGUGGGGAAUAUUGGACAAUGGGCGAAAGCCUGAUCCAGCCAUGCCGCGUGUGUGAAGAAGGUCUUCGGAUUGUAAAGCACUUUAAGUUGGGAGGAAGGGCAGUAAGUUAAUACCUUGCUGUUUUGACGUUACCAACAGAAUAAGCACCGGCUAACUUCGUGCCAGCAGCCGCGGUAAUACGAAGGGUGCAAGCGUUAAUCGGAAUUACUGGGCGUAAAGCGCGCGUAGGUGGUUCAGCAAGUUGGAUGUGAAAUCCCCGGGCUCAACCUGGGAACUGCAUCCAAAACUACUGAGCUAGAGUACGGUAGAGGGUGGUGGAAUUUCCUGUGUAGCGGUGAAAUGCGUAGAUAUAGGAAGGAACACCAGUGGCGAAGGCGACCACCUGGACUGAUACUGACACUGAGGUGCGAAAGCGUGGGGAGCAAAUAGGAUUAGAUACCCUGGUAGUCCACGCCGUAAACGAUGUCGACUAGCCGUUGGGAUCCUUGAGAUCUUAGUGGCGCAGCUAACGCGAUAAGUCGACCGCCUGGGGAGUACGGCCGCAAGGUUAAAACUCAAAGGAAUUGACGGC
rnacentral:rRNA from 1 species